GAUGAACGCUAGCUACAGGCUUAACACAUGCAAGUCGAGGGGCAGCAUGGUCUUAGCUUGCUAAGGCCGAUGGCGACCGGCGCACGGGUGAGUAACACGUAUCCAACCUGCCGUCUACUCUUGGACAGCCUUCUGAAAGGAAGAUUAAUACAAGAUGGCAUCAUGAGUCCGCAUGUUCACAUGAUUAAAGGUAUUCCGGUAGACGAUGGGGAUGCGUUCCAUUAGAUAGUAGGCGGGGUAACGGCCCACCUAGUCUUCGAUGGAUAGGGGUUCUGAGAGGAAGGUCCCCCACAUUGGAACUGAGACACGGUCCAAACUCCUACGGGAGGCAGCAGUGAGGAAUAUUGGUCAAUGGGCGAGAGCCUGAACCAGCCAAGUAGCGUGAGGGAUGACUGCCCUAUGGGUUGUAAACUUCUUUUAUAAAGGAAUAAAGUCGGGUAUGCAUACCCGUUUGCAUGUACUUUAUGAAUAAGGAUCGGCUAACUCCGUGCCAGCAGCCGCGGUAAUACGGAGGAUCCGAGCGUUAUCCGGAUUUAUUGGGUUUAAAGGGAGCGUAGAUGGAUGUUUAAGUCAGUUGUGAAAGUUUGCGGCUCAACCGUAAAAUUGCAGUUGAUACUGGAUAUCUUGAGUGCAGUUGAGGCAGGCGGAAUUCGUGGUGUAGCGGUGAAAUGCUUAGAUAUCACGAAGAACUCCGAUUGCGAAGGCAGCCUGCUAAGCUGCAACUGACAUUGAGGCUCGAAAGUGUGGGUAUCAAACAGGAUUAGAUACCCUGGUAGUCCACACGGUAAACGAUGAAUACUCGCUGUUUGCGAUAUACAGCAAGCGGCCAAGCGAAAGCGUUAAGUAUUCCACCUGGGGAGUACGCCGGCAACGGUGAAACUCAAAGGAAUUGACGGGGGCCCGCACAAGCGGAGGAACAUGUGGUUUAAUUCGAUGAUACGCGAGGAACCUUACCCGGGCUUAAAUUGCAGAUGAAUUACGGUGAAAGCCGUAAGCCGCAAGGCAUCUGUGAAGGUGCUGCAUGGUUGUCGUCAGCUCGUGCCGUGAGGUGUCGGCUUAAGUGCCAUAACGAGCGCAACCCUUGUUGUCAGUUACUAACAGGUUCCGCUGAGGACUCUGACAAGACUGCCAUCGUAAGAUGUGAGGAAGGUGGGGAUGACGUCAAAUCAGCACGGCCCUUACGUCCGGGGCUACACACGUGUUACAAUGGGGGGUACAGAGGGCCGCUACCACGCGAGUGGAUGCCAAUCCCAAAAACCUCUCUCAGUUCGGACUGGAGUCUGCAACCCGACUCCACGAAGCUGGAUUCGCUAGUAAUCGCGCAUCAGCCACGGCGCGGUGAAUACGUUCCCGGGCCU
rnacentral:rRNA from 1 species